GAAAUACACCCAGUGGGAUUGCAGGAUCACAUGGUAGCUCUAUUUUUAGUUUUUUAAGGAACCUCCAUACUGUUCUCCAGAAUGGCUCUACCCUUUUACAUUCCCAUGGACAGUGGAGGAGAGCUCCCUUUUUGCCCCUAAGGUUCUUUUCUAGCCUCACCUUAGUCUGGCCUUGACCUCCUGGCUGUUCCUUAAAUGUGUCCUACUCUCUCCCACCCUGGGGCUGUUGCUCUUCCAUCUGCCCCCAAGAACUGCGUGGCUCCCCUUAUUCUCGCCUGUCUGGGCUCUAAGGUCAUGUAAGGCAGCAGCACUUCUCUGUCUCUGCCCCCUGCCCUGGCUUUUUUUGCUCCACACUCACACACCUGCCCUGUCUGUUCAUUGUCUCUCCCUCCACUCAGUGUGAUCUAACAGCAUCCAGCACACACACACCUGAGAAGGCUCCCUGCAUAUCUGUGACUGAAUGGCUGAAAGGACACACAACAGAUACGCUGCUUUCCCCCUCUUUCAAGAUGUUAUUUUCCCUUCAGGGGGAUCAUUCUGGCCCCAUCCUUAGUUUCACUAUCUCCAUAAGAAUCUCCUCAAAAUAUCUGGCCUUAAAGUGCUUUGAUCAACCUCCUUCAUAACACACACUCUGACCUCUUUUAAAACAUGUGAUUCCAAUUUUUUUUAUAUAUAUGAAAAACAUCCUAUAAUCCCACAACCCACUACCUAAAGGCUAGAUGCUUAUUGAAGUUGUUCUUUGUAUUUUGCAGCUGUCUGUUAAAAUCCCAGGGAAAUGGUUGGACCUGAUUUGUCUUCCAGAGGAAGUGCACCUCUGUGUGUGCCCAGGGAGCCUCUGGUAGAACACAGAGAUCCCUGCCCCUCCCCCUCCCGCUCCCCAGUCUGAAGCCAGCCAUGCCCUCCCACUGCCUGUGGAGUGAGAUUUGAUCUCCUCAUUGGGGCAUUUCCAGUCCUUUCUGCCUCUUAUGCCCUAAGAAGCCUUUGCUCAGCCAAACUUGGCCCCUCAUUAUCCUCUGAUACCUGUGCGCACGGCCCUCUCCCUUAGAAACCUCGUCCAGGCCCUGCGGCUUGAGCUCCCCAACCCAAGCCAGCCCUACUCUUUGUUUUGAGGCCUCAGCUUCAGCUUGGAUUUCAAAUGGCCUGUUGGCAUCUCUUUCUGUGAGCUCUGCCAGCAACUCAAUUUCAACUUGGUUAAAGCCUGCCUUGAUGUUUUCUCCCACCCACAGCCCCACUUCCUAUCAGAAGUCUCACCAUUUUCCCAGACUCUCAGGGGUAAAACUCAGGGUCUGGUGGACUUUUCCUUUGUCACUCACACCCAGCCAGUCAUCACAAUCAAUUCAUCCUGAUAAUCCCUAUUGAUAGGAUUGACUAAUCACAGACCCACCAUGUGUAAAAGGUAUAUUUUCUAUAGUCUCUGAAAUAAGGCUAUGGGUUGCUUAGGGUACAGAUGAAACUGGUGCACAGAGGGACCCAGGAAUUCAGUGGCCCAAAGAAAGCAGAUGUUUAUCCCUCUCUUAUGUAGGGACCCUGACUGGUCAGUCUGUUUCCUGCAUGGCAUGGCUUUGUGACCACUCUGGUCAUUUCCAUUUCCCAACCUACAGAAAGGAUGAGAGAGGUCCUGUGACAAAUAGCUAAGCCAGUCUUUAUUUAUUUUUUCCUUUUUUUUAGGGCAGCAGGUGCAGCACAUGGAAGUUCCCACCUAGGGCUUGAAUCGAGCUGUAGUUGCUGGCCUAUGCCACAGCUCAUGGCAAUGCUGGAUCCUUAACGCACCGAGUGAGGCCAGGGAUUGAACCCACAUCCUCAUGGAAGUUAGUUGGCUUGAUUCCUCUGAGCCACAAUGGGAACUCCAAACAGCUAAGCCUGUCUUUAUGAGCCACUUGAAAGCUGUGCUCCUCACUUUUUCUCACAUCCCUUCCUUCUGAGCUGAGUCAGGUGACCACUGCAAAGGCAGAUGGAAAAUGUAGUUUCUAACUCGUGGCCAUGUGCAGCCAGCUAAAAAUGGGAUGGAUGUUCUAUUAGAAAAGGAAGAAAAGAAGAAACUGGUGGGUAUUGUUACCCUCAUUUGAAGAUGGGGCGCUGAGGCCUAGAGAGCUGAGCGGAGGUGUCAGAACGCAUUGGGAUUGGCUUCCAGGUCUGCCUGACUUGACUGUCUCUUACCCCACAAGGCCUCUCAAGGGACAGCUUAAGUGUGACUGGUAAGAAGAGAUAUAACUAAUAGAAAGAUCAUGUGUGCUUGAGCCUUCUGGGCAGAUCUCACAAAAGAAGAAGGGCUCAAAGGAAGGAAGCUGGGGUCUGGCUGGGUGGAGGAGAGGAAGGAGGGAAAAGUGAUAAUUUCCUUUUAGAAGGUGGGUCUCUAGGCCAUAUUUUGGUUUAGUCACUUCAAAUCAAUAAACAUUGCUCUAGGGCUUCUUCUAUGAACGCUUGAGUUUGGAGGAAGAUUUGGUGACAAAAUAGGAGCAGAAUCCUGCUUGAAACCCUUCAGUGUCUAAGUCCCCUUUGGCCACCACCCAACCACCUUGUUGGGUCCACAGGCCCUUGUGACCUGGCCCUGUCUGGCCAGAGCCUCUCUCUUCUGCUCCUCCAAGUGCAGGGACUUGCCCUGGCUGGCCACGCACACUGGCCUGUGCCCAUGCCUGGAAUGCUCUGGCCCAACCUCCUCCUGGAUGACAGCUGUUUUUUACUUCCUGACCUUGUUCUUCCUCUACCUGGAUUUGGGAAGACACAAAGGAAUGUUCUGCGAUUGCAUUCUGUUGGAGCAAGACUUAGAAAUAGACACAUAGACACUUGUUCGUGGGGCUCUUCUGCUACAGUAUGCACUCCAUGGAGAAGGCCUGCACCUUUCCCAGCCUCUGGCCUUCAGCACCGAGUCCAGGACAAGGACGAAAAAAGACUAGUCUCCUCUUAAGACUGUGGACUUCUUGAGGGUUGGCCUGUGGUCUUUUUAAAAUUCAUUGUUUCUUUAAUUCAGUAAAUACAAAAAAUAACUCAUAAUCUGCAAAUCAGAGUCAGUGCUUGGGCUAGUUUUAUUAGUUCGGUUGGCCUGCCAUAACAAAUUACAGCAGACUGGGUGGCCUAAACAACAGACAUUUAUUUUCUCACUGUUCUGCCAUCUAGAAGUCCAAGAUCAAAGUGGGGCAUGGUUGUUUCUUCUGAGGCCUCUCUCAGGGGCUUGUGGACCGCUGCCUCCUCUCUGCCUUCACAUGGUCUUCCCUCUUUGUGUGUCUGUGUUCGAGUCUCCUCUUCUUAUAGUGACACCUAUGGUAUUGCAUUAGGGCUCACCCAUGUGACCUUAUUUUACCAUAAUUACCUCUUCAAAGAACCCAUCUGCAAUUCAGUCAUGUUCUGAGCUCCCAGAGGUUAGGACCUCAACAUAUGGACUUGGGGGAACAUGAUUCAGCCCAUAACACUGACAUGCAUUGUUGUGUAACAGAGAAGAAAGAAGAGAUUCUGACCAGAAGGGACACGGAGACAUUCAUGGGGGAUGUUAGUGGAUGUCCUCGGGGGCAUAGGCUACUUGAGGAAGGGAGCUUGGCUCAUUUCUCUCUGUGCUCCACCUGCCCAGCACAGGGUACCAUUUGCAGAAGAUGCUCAUGUGCCAGCCUGGAAUACACAGAUAAGCACAGGAAUGAACUAGCAUUUGAUCUAAUAACAAGAGCAUAGCUGCCAGCAGGUGACUGCUCUUUGUUGUCAUUUCAGGUCCUUGUCUACUCUGCUAGGUCGGAGGCCAAGGCUCCACAGUUCUCAUUUGCCUGCAGCAAUGGUGAUCGGGUUCGAAACUUUCCAACCUAGUUAAACGUGUGGGUGGUUGGGGCCCACCCAAGGAAAAGAAGAGUGUGCUCAAUCAAAUCUUUUGUUUAGAAAAUGUUUUUCAGCUGAGUGUCCUAGGGCCCUUGUCCUGCUAGGCUCGAGGAUCCUGUUGCUAAAAGCCGGAGUGGAAAUUUAGGAGACUACAACUCAGACUCAAAAAUGAUAAUUGCUCAAAUCUGUUAAAGUCUUCACAGGUUGUUGCUGUUUUUUUAAUAAAAGGGCUUUACUUCUGUGAUUUGAUUUGACCCUUGAAAUGACCCUGUGGAGUGGGUAAAAGAAAGAGGAUGGGGUUUCAUGUCAUCAGUUCCAAGCCUGGCUCUACCACUUCUGGGCCUUGAGAACUUGGGAAAGGUGAGAACUUUCUGUAAGGUCUGCUUUUCUCCUUUGGGCAAUGAGAUGAUAAUGCCUAUCUCCUCUGACGGCCUCGAGGCCUGAUUGAUAUCAGGUUUUAGAAAGAGCCUACCAAAUAGAGUAAAACCUUAAAGAAGAAUUCAAACCCGUGUCCUCCCUUUUUUCCUUUUCUUUUGUAAAAUGGAGAACACAGUAAACAUUUACAAGCAUUGCUGUGAUGAAAUGGACAAUGAACAUAUAUAAUACAUACUCAGUAAAAGGUAGUUAAGGCUAUUCAUUUUAGACCCUGAUACUUUUUAAAAUAAAUGAGAUGUUACUAGUGUCUUUCUGAAUGUUUCAAAUUUCAAAUUCCCUUUGACGUUGAAGAAAACCUUACAAUUUCCAUUUUUAAGAGAAAGGGACAGAUGUAUGGAAACAUUAGACUGGGCAUUAAGAACCUUGGCUUGAGUUUGGUUCUGGAGUUUCCGAGACAGGCUGCGACGCAGAAGAACCCUUACUGGAGUGCUUAUACCUGCAUAAAUGUUUCCUCAAGCAGCAGAAUACAAAGAAACUAUAAGAGACUAAAAGCAAUUUCAUGCAGGCACAGUUGAGGCCAAUUAUGCAUAAUAAGAUACAAGAAAGCCAAAACCCAACAGUUGCUGCUGAGGUGCUGAGAGCAAAAUCAGGGUACAGCGCAUGAUCCAGACACACAACACCCCUGAGGAGGUGGGCAGACCAACACCUGAGCCACCCUUCUGGCCUGACCCAGACAUCCAUCUCACCCCCACCCCAUUUAAAGAACCAGCCACCCUCCUUGGAGGUGGAGCAGGGGCACCUGUUUCUUGUUUCAGCUCCUUCACGCUGUAGCCCACGACUGAGUCCUAAUAAAGCCUUAGCUGAACUCCUUCUCCUGCCUCUUAUCAGUCUCUAAAGCAUCCAAAGGCUCAAGUUGGUAAUGCUUCCUUGCUGCGAGGCCUUAGGUAAGUCACUUUCUUUUUCUGGGCCUUACGUUCUUCCUCUCUGCAGAGAGCAGACUGGACCAGAUGAAUGCUCCUUGUUAUCCCCAAGAAUCUAUGUUUGUAAAUUUUUUUCCCAAAUCCAGUAAAAAUCCUUAGCCCUUAAAAAGGGAAAUUUAAUCAGAAUUUUUUUUUUCUGAUUUAUGUGCACUUAACCAAACAGAACCCUACUUUCUAAGAGCUCUUUGAUGUUUAAGCUGCCUUAAAGAUUUUUUUUAAAGUUUUUUUCUUAGAAACAGGAAAUCAGAUUUUGGCAAGAGGGAAAGAAAUUCGAACACAUCCAGACUUGGGGGUGGGGGCAGUUGGUUGGUUUUUGAGUGGGCAGAAUUUGAGAGGGUUCCUGAGAUUGGCAAGAGGUGGCCUAGGCCACCCUCGCUCAGCCUCCCGAGGGUCUCCAACUUGAAAGGCUGUGUGAACUUCUGGGGCGGCGACAGGGAAGGCAUGCCUGAAGCAUUUCCUAAAACUUUAAGGACUGGCUGAAUGUUUUCUUUUCCUCCUCAGCCCUGCGUCUUCUUUCUCUUGGGCGAUAUCUGGCAGUCCACAUUGCCAAAUGCCUUAAAUGAUCUCUAAGGAAAAUAUUUUUUCACUAGAUCAGUUUUCCUUUCCAGAAAAAAAGGGACAGAAAAGAGAAAAUAGGAUGAGUGUGUGGCAGAGACAGUGUUUAGUUACUGCUCUGAAAAGCUCCUAAAAUCUCUGCGAGCCAAGUGAUUUUUAACAAGUGAAAUAGUGACCCACUAGGCAACUGGGGUAGCAGCUUCAAGGCCCAGGUGGGCCUCCUGUUGACCAAGGGACUUGCAACAGAGCUCGAUCUGGUGAGUUGGCCUGGGCCCAGGUCAUGAAGGAUGAGUUUAGCGGUUGGAUGGAAACAUGGAAUCAUUGCCCCGGUGGGCUUGCCCUGAGGCUGCUCCAGGAGAAGUGACGGGAGGAUGACAGUCAAUGACAAGGCUCUUUUCUGGACAUUGAUGAGCUCUGUGACUCCACAAGCUUUCAAGGCAUAGAAGAGGUAAACACGUAAAUGUGAACAUCUACAUAUCUUACAGAAAAAUUUCUAAGAUCUAAAAUCAGGAAUGCUGUGUGGUUCAGCUAUAUUUCCUUUGGUGCUGAGAAUAAUGACCAGGAAGAGAAGGUACAUAAACCUGUGAAGACAUUACAUGGCUUGGUCCAACAAGGUUAUUCAGAUUUGGUGAAAGAAGUCUCCAGUUGCUUCCAAUGAUCCUACAAAAGUCUUGGACUGAGGACACUUGCACUGAACCACUGGAUCCCUCCAUCAGGACCUGAAAGAUUUUAAAUCAACCCAAAUCUUCUUGGUUGAGAGAAAAUAAAACCCACUGACUUAUAUGACAACACCAGAUGUAAGCCUGAUUUAAGGAACAGGCAAUAUCAAGUUUGGCCCAAAGGUAUCUUUAACAGGGAACAAGAUAAAGUAGCCUCUCUGAGAAAUACCAAAGUCAAGUGAAUUCUCUUAGAGUGCUAUUUUCCAAAUCUGUGCAGAGCUAGUCUAAGCCUCUGACAGGUUUCAGUUAUGUACAAGUCAGAAGUAUUUUUACUAAUAGUAUUCCAGACUAUUAGAGACACUGUUGAGAUCAAGAUAUCAUGGAACUACAACAUGAGAUCUUCUUGGCAAUAUUUAAGCCAAGAAAGCUCAAUUCUUGUCAAUAGUCCAUACAGUCCUAAAAUAAGACAUGAUCAUCUACUCUUAAGUCAGAGGAACUAGGUCAUUAGUAGACAUUGGUAUCCUGGACUGAGGGAGAAAGGGGAAAAGAGACCUUAGCAUUCAAACAAAUGUUACAAACUAAGGAGUAUUUCCUAAUAUAACCACAGAAACCAACAUUUUUAGUGUUAGCUAGUACCUUAGAACCCAAGGAGUGGUUUAUAUAUAACCAAUAUCACCUUUUUAUUUAUUAAAAGGAACUGGUACAAGAGACCUUCAUGGCUAGUUGGACUUUUGUUCCUCUACUGCUGUACCUAAAGACAGCUACCAACUUGGAUUCCAGUGAUUCAAGAUUCUCACCUCAACCCUAUUAGGACAUGUGACUCAAAUGCAUGGCUAGUAUGAGCUAUAAAGGAGUAUAUACUGACUCAGGUUAAUGGUGCAUACUGAUGUAAUCCCCGGCUCAACACAGUCUAGUAUGUUUACUGUGAAGUGCAUGGUGAUGAUACACUUAAUUUUAUUGUGUCGACAGCAUUAAAUGUUGGUCUUGGCAAACAUGUAAAGACAACAUGAAAAGUAGAGCCACUGAUGAGAGAUAAUGCCAAGGUGGAUUUCUUUGUGCUGGAUGAAGAAGAUAGUGAACAAAAGGUAAAACAUCCUCAAAGUAUCAAAGAAAGGAAGCCAAGUCUUCCCUUUUGCUGAAUAUGAACCUUUAGGAUAAGAAAUAAAGUUUGGAGAAACUCAUAAAAAACAUUCAA